AGCGAACGCUGGCGGCAGGCCUAACACAUGCAAGUCGAACGAACUCUUCGGAGUUAGUGGCGGACGGGUGAGUAACACGUGGGAACGUGCCUUUUGGUUCGGAAUAACUCAGGGAAACUUGUGCUAAUACCGAAUGUGCCCUUCGGGGGAAAGAUUUAUCGCCAUUAGAGCGGCCCGCGUCUGAUUAGCUAGUUGGUGAGGUAACGGCUCACCAAGGCGACGAUCAGUAGCUGGUCUGAGAGGAUGACCAGCCACACUGGGACUGAGACACGGCCCAGACUCCUACGGGAGGCAGCAGUGGGGAAUCUUGCGCAAUGGGCGAAAGCCUGACGCAGCCAUGCCGCGUGAAUGAUGAAGGUCUUAGGAUUGUAAAAUUCUUUCACCGGGGACGAUAAUAACGGUACCCGGAGAAGAAGCCCCGGCUAACUACGUG
rnacentral:rRNA from 1 species